CGCGGCCUAUCAGCUUGUUGGUGGGGUAAUGGCUCACCAAGGCGACGACGGGUAGCCGGCCUGAGAGGGUGACCGGCCACACUGGGACUGAGACACGGCCCAGACUCCUACGGGAGGCAGCAGUGGGGAAUAUUGCACAAUGGGCGGAAGCCUGAUGCAGCGACGCCGCGUGAGGGGUGACGGCCUUCGGGUUGUAAACCUCUUUCAGCAGGGAAGAAGCCACAAGUGACGGUACCUGCAGAAGAAGCGCCGGCUAACUACGUACCAGCAGCCGCGGUAAUACGUAGGGCGCGAGCGUUGUCCGGAAUUAUUGGGCGUAAAGAGCUCGUAGGCGGUUUGUCGCGUCUGCUGUGAAAGCCCGGGGCUCAACCCCGGGUCUGCAGUGGGUACGGGCAGACUAGAGUGCAGUAGGGGAGACUGGAAUUCCUGGUGUAGCGGUGAAAUGCGCAGAUAUCAGGAGGAACACCGAUGGCGAAGGCAGGUCUCUGGGCUGUUACUGACGCUGAGGAGCGAAAGCAUGGGGAGCGAACAGGAUUAGAUACCCUGGUAGUCCAUGCCGUAAACGUUGGGCACUAGGUGUGGGGGACACUCCACGUUCUCCGCGCCGUAGCUAACGCAUUAAGUGCCCCGCCUGGGGAGUACGG
rnacentral:rRNA from 1 species